rnacentral:rRNA from 1 species
UACGUAGGCAGCGAGCGUUGUUCGGAGUUACUGGGCGUAAAGGGUGCGUAGGCGGCCACUUAAGUCCUGCGUGAAAUCUUGCGGCUCAACCGCAAGCGGUCGUGGGAAACUGGGUGGCUAGAGUGCGGGAGAGGAGAGUGGAAUUCCUGGUGUAGCGGUGGAAUGCGCAGAUAUUGGGAAGAACACCGGUGGCGAAGGCGGCUAUCUGGACCGUAACUGACGCUGAGGCGCGAAAGCGUGGGGAGCAAACAGGG